CUUGGCCUACCACUGCCCUGAACUGCAGCUCAUCAGCUCUAGGAAACCGAGGAACAGAAAGGUUGACUUGUCUGACGUCAAAGGAAGUCCAGACUCCUGCAGAACAGCUCUGGGCCACCCUCCUGACCUCUACACAGUCCAAAGGCUCAUCAUGUGGUCAAGAAAAGAGGGCAUGAACAAUGCAGUCACAGCAUCAAAGAGGUGGUCCAGGGCUGGGGAUAAGGCCAGGAUAGAGUGAGUGCUUGGCAUACGUGAGGUCCUGGAUCCAAUCUCCAGCAAAGAAAGAAGGAAAGGAAACAUGGAGGAAGCACAAAGGGGAGGGAGAGCUAAGCUUCCUAUCUGCAGUGGAAAGAAAUAAAUGGGUUCAUCCCCUAUCCUGCUUGAUGAUGGAGAAUACCAAAAUUAAAAUGUCAAAGCCC